ACGUAAAACGAUAAUGAUUUGCGUGCACAGUGAACAAAAUCAGAGGGUAAACGGUGCACAAAUAUGCAACAGAAAAUCCCCACGCUACUUCAUCCUUGGAAAAGUUUUGUUAUUUCCUUUGGCAGGAGCAGGGAAGCUUGCAAGAUGGGAGACCCAUGCUGAAUUUGGAUGCUACGUGAUUAGGAUGAAUGUGAAAUGCACCCCUGCUUACCUGCAAAAUAUCAACCAGGACCACUGGGUUUGUUUGUUUUUUACUCAUUCAUGGAAAUGCUCCUUUACACAUGAAGGAAAUACAUGCCUGAUUUUACUUGCGAAUAGGAACGUAAGAAGGUACGGCUUUUCCUGUAUCCUAUAUCUGCCAUAUGCAGCACUGUUUCCAUUCAGCUGCAGUUCAUCUUCUGCCAAAAGUUAUAUGACUUACUGUCCACUGGGGCUUAGGCAACUGACAUCACUUAUUACAUAAAUUAUGUAUGUUCCAUUGUCAUUACAUUAUUCCACCACAUUCAUUUCAAUGCAGAGGAAACACAAGGCACAUGAGGGAGACCGUAAUCAAUUACGGAUUGUUUGCGGAUUGAAAGGAACAAUAGCGAAUACCUAUCAAAUUCACUGGAUGGAUUCCCGUUCCAUACAUGGGGCAAAUAAGAGAACACCACCAAUUUCCAUUUCUGUUUUGUUUUAGUCCGAAUUCUCCAACAUCCCUACUUGUAAGUCAAGCACGGAUAUGGCCAGCUCUUCCUGGAUACUUGGCAUGUACCCAUUUGUGAUGAAUGAAUAAACCCAGCAGUAAACAUUU